CGUGUAGGCGGCUUUGCAAGUCGGGUGUGAAAUCCCUCAGCUCAACUGAGGAAGUGCGCCCGAAACUGCAGAGCUUGAGUACCGGAGAGGAUGGUGGAAUUCCCCAAGUAGAGGUGAAAUUCGUAGAGAUGGGGAGGAACACCGGUGGCGAAGGCGACCAUCUGGACGGAUACUGACGCUGAGACGCGAAAGCGUGGGUAGCAAACAGGAUUAGAUACCCUGGUAGUCCACGCCGUAAACGAUGAGAACUAGGUGUCGUGGGUGUUGACCCCUGCGGUGCCGUAGCUAACGCAUUAAGUUCUCCGCCUGGGAAGUACGGCCGCAAGGCUAAA
rnacentral:rRNA from 1 species